AUGUGUGUGGUUGCACACUAUAUAGAUGGGAAUUGGAACUUACAAACCCAUGUGCUUGCUUUCAUAGAGUUGGAUCCUUCUCACUCCGGAAAUGUCAUUGCGGAUGCUCUCUAUGCGGUUGUGACAGAAUGGAAUAUUGAGACCAAAAUUAUGUCCAUCACACUUGACAACGCUUCAAACAAUGAUGGUGCGGUUGAAGCUUUGAAGGCCAAGUUCUUGUUUCAGAGAGGUAAGGACUUCGAAGGACAAUAUUUUCAUAUCCGUUGUUGUGCACAUAUCCUCAACUUGGUCGUGCAAGAUGGGACAAUGAUCUUAGAUAAUUUGAUAAACAGCUUGAGAGAGACGGUGAAGUACUUCAAGAGGUCACCUUCUCAUCUCCAUGCUUUUGUUGCCACUUGCAAAAGCUUGGGUGUCAAAGUUGGUAAUCAUUUACACCUGGAUUGUAAAAUAAGGUGGAGUUCAACCUUUAAGAUGAUUAGCACUGCCCGUGGAUAA
rnacentral:rRNA from 1 species